UUUUUACUAUGAAGAGUUUGAUCCUGGCUCAGGAUGAACGCUAGCGACAGGCUUAACACAUGCAAGUCGAGGGGCAGCAUGGUCAGUAGCAAUACCGACUGAUGGCGACCGGCGCACGGGUGAGUAACGCGUAUGCAACCUGCCCUGUACAGGGGGAUAGCCCAUGGAAACGUGGAUUAAUAUCCCAUAGUAAUCACGAUAGGCAUCUAUUUUGAUUUAAAUCUUCGGAGGUACAGGAUGGGCAUGCGUCCUAUUAGAUAGUUGGCGGGGUAACGGCCCACCAAGUCCUUGAUAGGUAGGGGUUCUGAGAGGAAGGUCCCCCACACUGGUACUGAGACACGGACCAGACUCCUACGGGAGGCAGCAGUGAGGAAUAUUGGUCAAUGGGCGAUAGCCUGAACCAGCCAAGUCGCGUGAGGGAAGACUGCCCUAUGGGUUGUAAACCUCUUUUGUAAGUGGAGAAUAAGCGUUACGUGUAGCGCGAUGACUGUAACUUACGAAUAAGCAUCGGCUAACUCCGUGCCAGCAGCCGCGGUAAUACGGAGGAUGCGAGCGUUAUCCGGAUUUAUUGGGUUUAAAGGGUGCGUAGGCGGCACUAUAAGUUAGUGGUAAAAUAUCCGGGCUUCACCCGGACUCGCCAUUAAUACUGUAGAGCUCGAGUACAGACGAGGUAGGCGGAAUAAGUUAAGUAGCGGUGAAAUGCAUAGAUAUAACUUAGAACUCCGAUAGCGAAGGCAGCUUACCAGACUGUAACUGACGCUGAUGCACGAGAGCGUGGGUAUCGAACAGGAUUAGAUACCCUGGUAGUCCACGCCGUAAACGAUGCUCACCGGCCCUUAGCGAUAUAGAGUUAGGGGUUAAUCGAAAGAAUUAAGUGAGCCACCUGGGGAGUACGUCGGCAACGAUGAAACUCAAAGGAAUUGACGGGGGCCCGCACAAGCGGAGGAACAUGUGGUUUAAUUCGAUGAUACGCGAGGAACCUUACCUGGGUUUAAAUGUAUUCUGCAUAAACUGGAAACAGUUUUUUCCUUCGGGACUGAUUACAAGGUGCUGCAUGGUUGUCGUCAGCUCGUGCCGUGAGGUGUCGGGUUAAGUCCCAUAACGAGCGCAACCCUUAUCACUAGUUGCCAUCAGGUAAUGCUGGGCACUCUAUUGAGACUGCCACCGUAAGGUGAGAGGAAGGGGGGGAUGACGUCAAAUCAGCACGGCCCUUACACCCAGGGCGACACACGUGUUACAAUGGCCGGUACAGAGGGUCGCUACCUGGUGACAGGAUGCUAAUCUCGAAAUCCGGUCGUAGUUCGGAUUGGAGUCUGUAACCCGACUCCAUGAAGUUGGAUUCGCUAGUAAUCGCGCAUCAGCCAUGGCGCGGUGAAUACGUUCCCGGGCCUUGUACACACCGCCCGUCAAGCCAUGGAAGCCGGGAGUACCUGAAGUCCGUAACCGCAAGGAUCGGCCUAAGGUAAUACUGGUAACUGGGGCUAAGUCGUAACAAGGUAGCCGUACCGGAAGGUGUGGCUGGAACACCUCCUUUCUGGAG
rnacentral:rRNA from 1 species